rnacentral:rRNA from 1 species
UACGGGGGGAGCAAGCGUUGUUCGGAUUUACUGGGCGUAAAGGGCGCGUAGGCGGCGCCGCAAGUCGACUGUGAAAUCUCCGGGCUUAACCCGGAAAGGUCAGCCGAUACUGCGGGGCUAGAGUGCAGAAGGGGCAACUGGAAUUCUCGGUGUAGCGGUGAAAUGCGUAGAUAUCUGGAGGAACACCGGUGGCGAAGGCGGCAUCCUGGACCGGCAUUGACGCUGAGGCGCGAAAGCGUGGGGAGCGAACAGG